AGAACUCAUCCCCAAAUUACAUGUAGGGUUCUCAGUUCACAGACCUGAGCGGGAAGCAGGCCACUGCGUUUCUACCAUCUCGUUGCAGAUGGAAGACCUGAGGGGUGAGUGGCCAAACCUGGUCUGUUGGACUUCUCAAAAUCAGGCCUCCUCCCACUUACCUUGGACUAAGGAUGUGUAAAGUGGGAUUCCCAGCAAGGUCUCUCUGAAUGGCACCAGGCAGCUCCAUUUCCUGGCUUAGAGGAGUUUCAGCUGCAUCUUACUGCAACCCACUGCCAAGGCACAAGCCUCCUCUCCGCCCCUCGAAGCAGAAUAAACUUUGGAAACAGAGGGCUCAUCCUCUAGAAAAAAAGAAAAGGAAAGAGCAGCAAGAGGAAGAAAAGAUGAAUAAGGAGACUUUGGAGAUGCUUCGGUCAGUUAGCAGGAGCCCAGGUGAGGGGGGACGGAAGCCCCAUUCUCAGACUAAAAGGAGCCAGCCAGAGAGACCCCAAGGACAGGCAGAGGGCGCAUCGCCAGAGCGUACAGGAGCAAGUGCGGCUGCCGGGCUGCUGCCUGUCCUCCCUCAUCUGGCCCUCUGGUUUCUAUUUGAGGUCAGCUUCUUCCUCCACUCACAGGGCCCAUCCUGGAUGCACCAUCUCUGUUAGCAUCUGUGUUGCCCGGAGGGUGCUUCCUUGUGUCCUUGAAGCAUUUCCUAAGGUAUGACUCCAACUGUUUGGAUUCCAGGUGUCAUGGAUGCCAACCCAUCAAUCAAAGAUGAACAUCCUUGUCUCCCACAGAGACUAGACUGUUUCCACUUCUGUCUGGAAGGCUCUCCCUGACGAGAGGCGGAGGGCUGUAAUUGCUCUCAAAAUGUAUAAUCACAUCUUACACAUUCCCCAGCACAGAGAAGCAUUUCCAAGUAAGAGAAUCAUAAAAAUACUACAAUAAAUUCUGAAUCUUUGUUUAAAAAAACCUUGCAUAAAAGCCCUGGAACGUUAGAAAAUCUUCAGAGAUUGAAUGAUUUUCUCUGGAAAGUUGGCAUGUUUGCAAAAACACGGCUGUUAACUCACCUCCUAAUUGGCUUCAGAGUUGCUUGCCUAUCUUAUUUAUAGUUAAUGGCCCACUCUGUACGUGGGAGUCUCUCCUUCAGAGUUAAGCAGCCCGAUUUAAGAGUAAGCUUUCUUCUCUUCACAAGUGUAACAAAGCCAAGACACCCACAUACAAUCAGGUUUGCUAAUUUAAUAGUUUGGGAUGUCUUGAUUAUGGUCUAUCCUGGAACUAAGCCUUUCCAGAACAGCGGCCAUCCUUGAUCCAUCUUGGCAUUCUGGAACACACCUGCCACAACCAAGGGCUUCCCAUCCAGUUGGUGAGUCAUUAAAAUAUAUUGAAUGAACACAUAUUCUACCAAGUAAUAGAGAAACAAAACUAAUGAGACUGAAACCUUCUGGCCUCUCAUAUCAAAUGCUAACUUUCAUAUUUGGUCCAGGGUAAUUUUUCACAAAUAGAGCAAUUCAUAAGUUAAGAGGAAGUUAAUGAUGUCCAGAGCACUAGGUAAAAUCUCCCUUAGAAAAGAGAAAAUGCAAUUGGUUUUUCCCCACUUAAUAAACCUUCAAGUCUGCACCUGAAGGCUUUUGAGCUUUGUGUACAUCGGGUUUCCUUAUAGGCACAAAAAGGUAAUAAACACUUACUGUUCAGCAGUUUGUAAAAUGGCAUUGGGGAGCUCUGCCUUCAGAAUGUGUGUGACUUAGAUUGAAUCCACUGUACUCGUGUUACUUAUAAAUUGUUUAUUCUUGUAAUAUGUGGAAAAAAGCAGUAAAACAAAAUGUCAACCGCGUACGCUCAAGAUUGAUGAGGCUUUCCAAUACCAAAUGGUUGCAGAGAUUCAGUGAUAAAUGUCUCUUCCUCACACAACACAGCAAAAUCACAGUUCUCUCUCCUAUGAACAGCCUGCUAGUGUCAAAAGGAUCUGAUGACUUAUAAUUGAGAAGACUUAAGCCAGUUUUGUUUUUGUUUGUGUUUUGGUCUCAGAAUCACAAAAUUAUUUAUCAAUAUGCCAGUACUAACUUUAAGGAGGCAGAAUUUUUUAAAAGGUCAAGUUAGAAACUUAGAGGGGGCCAUAGACCAGUUGCCCACCCCAUUCUCUGUUCAAUUAGGUUAUUAUGUUUACACAGAGUGGAUCCUUUUUAUUUAGAAUUAUGAAUGGGUG